rnacentral:rRNA from 1 species
AACGUAGGACACAAGCGUUAUCCGGAAUUACUGGGCGUAAAGCGCGCGUAGGCGGUUUGUUAAGUCGGAUGUGAAAUCCCCGGGCUCAACCUGGGCAUUGCAUCCGAUACUGGCUGACUAGAGUGUGGGAGAGGAAGGUAGAAUUCCAGGUGUAGCGGUGAAAUGCGUAGAGAUCUGGAGGAAUACCGAUGGCGAAGGCAGCCUUCUGGCCUAACACUGGCGCUGAGGUGCGAAAGCAUGGGGAGCAAACAGG